UGGGCGUUCCUUCUCCACAGAGCGCGCUUCAGUGCAGUGACGUGCAGAAUCAGCGAGAUGCCCGGAUAGAGCGCACCUGAACCGGCGACUGGAAGCGGGGAAAACCCGUGGAUCUCACUGCGGCCUGUGCUUGGAGCGGGCAGAUUGUUGCAAUUAUGGCAGAGGAUCCUCAGAGGAACUUCAGGUCAGCGUAUUACGAAAAGGUCGGCUUCAGGGGGGUGGAGGAGAAAAAGUCACUUGAAAUUCUGCUGAAGGACAAUCCACUAGAUGUGGAAAAGUUGAGUACGUUCAGUCAGAGGUUUCCAUUACCCUCCAUGUACAGGAUCCAUGUGUGGAAAGUCCUGCUUGGUAUCCUGCCUCCACACUGCGAUUCUCACUCUCUGGUAGCACGUUACAGGCAGGAGCAGUAUACGGAUAUUAAAGAAGCUCUUCAGGCUAUGCGCUUCGUGCACGCGGGCACGACACACACCGAGCUGUAUCUUCGCAUGCACCAGCUGGAAAACCAGCAGCUGCCUUGCCGGUCAGAUCUAACACAACUUGGUGAAGAUGAUGAAGAUUUCUUGGCUAUUGCCAGGGUGAUGGAGGAGAUUGUGGAUGACCCGGUGGACUGCUAUUGGCUGAUUAGGAGCUUUGUUAACCAAUUUAAUCACAAGUUUGGCGAUUCCAUACCACACCUGCCCAAGAGUCUGGAGCAUUUCCUCUCCCAGGAGGACAGUCGUCUUUUGUCCCACCUGAAAACAUCAGGCAGUCUUGCAGUACUGCCCUACUCCCUUUGGUUUAGACGCUGUUUUGCAGACUGCCUGCCCGAGUCCAGCCUACAGAGGGUUUGGGACAAGGUGAUCAGCGGCUCAUGUAAAAUCUUGGUUUUCGUGGCUGUGGAGAUCUUGCUGAGCUACAAGAUCAAGCUCAUGGGAAUGAACCGACCAGAUGCUGUGGUGAAAUUCCUGAGCAAUAUGCCGCCAGAGAACACGGACGCCAUCGUGACCAAAGCCAUAGAACUGUGGCACAAGUACUGUGGCACUCCGGCACACUCUGUUUAACCCAUACAGACUUGGACUUUAAAGACAUGAGCUGGAAGUGAUACCUGUGAUCGCUUCUGAUCUUCAGAGCCUACUGAUGGCUCGGUCAGAAUAGAAAAUGUUCAUGUUAAUACCUCAUUUGGAGGUGAUUUGAUUGAAUGAAUUUAUCUCUUGGUCUGGUUCAGUACAUGCAUGGGGAAGACAGCUGACUUGACAGUUGUUUAGAAGACCAUCAACACUCUCCACAAGGAGAAUGAGCCACAUCAGGUGCUGUAUCAAAUCAUAUUCAUUGAAAGUUGCCUGUAAGGGAAAGGGAACAGUGUCGAGCAAAGCCGAUUCAAGACCUUCACAAGGAGUGGAGUGAGGCUGGAGUCAGUGCAUCAAGAGCCACCACGCACAGACGUUUUUAGAAAAUGGGCAAUAACUGUUGCAUUUCUAGUAUCAAACCACUCCUUAACCAGAGGCAACAGCAGAAGCUUCUUACCCAGGCUAAGAAGUAUAAGAACUGGACCAUUGCUCAGUGGACCCAAGUUCUCUGUUCAGAAAUAAAUUUAGUAAUUUCAUUUGGAAAUAAAACUCCCAGAGUUUGGAGGAAGAAUAGAGUGCUUCAAAGGUUGCUUGAAGUCCAGUGUGAAUUUUCCACAGUCAGUGAUUUGAGGCACCAUGUCAUUUGCUGGUGUUUUAUCAAGUCCAGAGUCAACACUGCCAUCUAGCAGGAGAUUUUAGAGCACUUCAUGCUAAAAAUUUUUUUAUUGAGAUUCUGAUUUCCUUUCCCAUCAGGACUUGCCAGCUGCGCACAGUGUCAACACUACCACUAACUGGUUUGCUGAUAUUAUUGUACUUGAUUGAUUGAUUUUACCUCACCUGAAGCCUAAAGAGAAUCUGUGUCGAAGAGGAAGAUGAGCAACAGUCGACCCGAACAAUAAAGACGUGCUGAAGGCUGCUAUCAAAACACCCUGGUCUUCAUUUUUCAAUAUUAUAUAAACAUAUAUUUAUAGAUGUAUACUUGUAUGUAUAAAUGUUUCAGAAUUUCUGGACAUCCUGUUUCGAUUGAUCUUAGGAAAUAUUCUAAUAUUUUGAGAUACUGGAUUUUUGAUAUUUAUGAGCUAUAAUCCAUAAUUAAAAGCAAAAAAGUAUGUAAGGUAAUAAGUCCAAAGAUGUGUGUAUAUAUAAAAUGUAAGUUAUGAAAGCAAAUGUACUUUUUUUUUUUUUUUU